UAUGCACCAGUGUGACUCGACAGAAGAUGAUAGAGGUUGGGAAAAGGCCUGGAAGGGCUGGGAUGUCGUUGCCAUGGAAAUCGCUCGGUGUCUGGAACAGCAAGAAUGAGAGCAACUCCAAAAGUAAUGAUCUGUCACUUUGACAAAGAGGGAAUUGGAGGGAUUUGGUUAGGGGGAAGCCUCAUGCUUCAAAUAAUAUGCGUCCAUAUGCCACGUCUUCCCCAAAAGGGCUCUGUCGACAGCCCUGAGAAAUAAUCUGAUGUGUUUUGGCUGGGGGUUUCCCCAGGGAGCACGGACACAGUUUCUGCACAGCAGCUGAUCUGCACGGCUCCACAAUCCCAGGAUGAAAGGCACCAACUCAAUGCAAUAUUCAUUCACUCGUUCUUCCUCCCUUCAUUCAUUUAUUCAUCCAUUCAUCUGGUUCAUUCACAUUUCCCCAGCACUUUAAUGAGCAGUGCUGAACCUCUGCAGUCCUGCAGAGCAGCCCCUGGUGCGCUGUCUGUGCUGCAGACGGCCAUCUCAAAGCCUGGCGUCCGUUCAUUUACAGGGCAAAUCCUGGUGUGGCUGCAGCGAGGUCUGCAGUGUGCGCGGCUCUGCACUGGGGUCUUUAAAUCCCUCUAAAAUCCUGCCGGGUUUUUCUAUUCCUGCGAUUUCUCUUUGCUCUGAUUUACGUCUCAUUCAGCUCGCAUCUUCCUUGUGGCAGCCCGAGGAGAGGGAUCACUUCCAAAGAGCGAGCAUGGGGCGAUCUAUUUCUUUUCCCUGUGGUCUUUUAGGAAGUGGAGAAGGAUGCCUCAGGAGCAUCUUCCCUCCUCAGCCAUGUCUGAGCUCCCUAGGCAGCUGCAUUGGGAUAUAGUGACCUCUGCAGAGGUCUCAGAUGGCCAUCAAACCAGACUGAAGACCACAGUCCUAACCAGGACCUGGCUUUUUUCCAGAUUUAUUCUCCACCCAGAGUCAUCAGGGACUGGAGGCAGCUAUUGCAGGGCUCUCCAGGGCAGGUUUUUUUCCAACCAUAUGCAGACAUUUCUCUUGAAGAAAAUAAGAUGGAUGGCGUCUGGGUAGAAAUAAGGAAAGAUUAAAAGGAGAAAACUAAUUUUCCUGCCUAUGAUCUCACUCGUGGAAAAUGAUGCUUUUUCUGUGUGUGCCGCUGAUCUGUCCUCUGCCUCUCUCCAAAGAGCUAAAUGCAUUUCUGAACCAAAGGAAGCAAAGAGAAAACAUCCGCUCUUUGUAUAAUGAAGAAAGCUUUUUCUUUUGUUCCCUGCCUUUUAUCAAGUAUCUGCUAUCUAACAUUAUUGUUACUCACAGGGUUAUUACCUCUAAGUGGCUACUUCCACCAGCGUGAGCUGCUUUAUUGUCUGCUCAGAGCAAUUACAGAUCGAGAUAAUUCCUGCCGCACUGUUUCGUUGCGGAAGGAUUUGCUGUGCUCCAUGGCCGAGGUAACUUGAGGUGACUUGUGCUGCCGAGUUAUCCGUCGCGUUAAUUAGCAGUGGGUGGCUGGUGCCCUGCUGGAUUCUGGGACAGAAGAUCAGCAGAGGCUAAACCUAGACCUCUUUCAGUGUGAGAGGUGCAAGUAUUAAAAGGAAAAUUUGGUUUUAGCAGAGCAGAGCUGGGCUCGCAUGUCUAUGACUACCUCAUCUUUAUUAUUCUGUUGCCUAAAAUAUUGGCUAACGUGACCCCCUCCAAGUGUGCAGGACCCUUUGUGUAUGUGCGUGCAGGGCAGGACCCUCCCUGCUUGGAGGACUUGCUCCGUGUGCUGCUCCUUGCCAACUUUUAGGAGGUCCUUUGGCUCCUUGUCCUGGGUUGUAAAGAGGCAAGGGUACAAAAGUGGUUCCCAGUCCAUGAUGGCUUUCCCUUUGGGAACUGCCUGACCUUGCUGGUUGGAAAGGGGAAAUGAGAUGUGUUUGUCUGAAGUUGGAAUCCCAGACCGUUCCCCCUCCUGGGCCGCGGAGGCUCACCCCCGGCAGGGCUCCGCACCUGGCUGUGCGUUGGAGGGCUCAGCCUGCGGGCCAUGAACAUACCCUGUUCUUUUGUAUUGCUUUGGUACUUGAUCUGGUAGCAAAGUAACAUUUUUUCUUUUUUUUCCCCCAUUUAACCUCCUAGGAACCCAGCAGUGGUUACUGGGGACUCCCUGCGCAGAAGAAGCUGGGCGAUGCCAGGCGAGGCGUGGAGCUCCAGGUGGGGACGGCGAGGGGGGUCCUGGGGGGCAGCUGCGGGGGUUUUGCAACCCAGCUACUCAGCUUAGGAACAAUGUGUUACGCAUUUCCUUACUAAUAAAUAAAUACAAAAGUGUGACACUUAUAAGUGCUCGUGAAGGCCAUGGCAAACACAUUUUUCCCACAGUUAGUAACCUAGGGAUUGGGAAGUGGUGGUUUUUAUUUAUUUUUCAUAGCACACAACAAGGACGGAUUAGCAUGAACUAUAAUGCUGUCACAUGCUCUCAAAAUCCUCCAUACUGAGACCCCAUCCAAGUUCAGCACACGUAGCAAUGAGCUUUUCAAAAGAGUCAUGAUGAUAAUAAGUAUUUUUCUCGCUGGCCCAGAAACCGUAACUGGCAGGGUAGAAUUUCUAGGGUUGUGUGGAUGCAUAAAACAUCACCAAAAAAAUAAAAAUAAUAAUAAAAAAAUGUUCAGUUUACUUGUUACUAAACUUGACUCUGCAUACCCACAGAAAUGUGUAGGUGUCUGGACUGCACCUGACUCAUGAAGUCCUGCUGGUCCCAUUGACCAGAUCUCCCUUUGGGUUUGACACUAGGCCUGCACUUUGGGUUAGGUCAAUAUUUGCCCAAGUUUUCUUGCACAGAGCAUGGCUUUGUGCCUGCUUUGCUAUUCAUCUGAGCUUUUAGCUAUCCUUUCUGCAAGAAAUUGAUGGCUCAGACUGAUCUGAAUGGACACAGAGACUUCACCCCUUUCUUACCACAGGUUGGACCCUGAGAAAUGUUUUUUUUGGGGGGAAGGGAGUGGGAGACAGUAGAAAACCACCUCUUCCCUGCUCUUCUCUGCUCCGCCGUGUUGGCCUCUGGUUCAGCCGAGGAUCUGAGCCACAGCAGCUUGCAGAAACGUUGGUGACAAGUCAGUUCUUUAAAAUACCAGGCACUGAAAUGAUUCCCUGAUGGUACCUCUCUCUCUUUUUAAGGCUGAUGGUAAAUAUGACACUUGGGGCUUGGCCAAGAGCCUUUGACAGGGCUCACCAAAAUUUUGCUGCCAGCUUGGUGGGGACGCCAUGGCCAUGAGACCUUGUCAGAGCAAAGCCUUCUUUGUGCACUUUGUACAAGCAGCAUGCUGUGUUUGUGGCUAGAACUGGUCUUAAAUUGUCAUGUCCCUUUACAGCCACAGCAAAAGUGGACGAAAAGCUCAGAAACGGGGACUGGAAAUCCAUCCUGACAUUUCAAAGCAAUCUUUCCUUGUUGGGCUGAGUUCCCAGAGCAAAGGGAAAUGGUGGUCGUGAGUAGAACAUUUCCCUCAGCAUUGUGGUGAUGGCGUUUGGCUCCCAGAGGACAACCCUCCCUUGCCUCCAGGGGAGCGCAGAGAGCAGCAGCACCAGGUCAUACCUUGAGUCGUGAUGCUGUCCCUCCUGCCGUCCCUUCCCAUCAGCUACAUGAGACAAGCUCUCCUUUUAUGCUCAAAAAAUGGACUGGAUCAAGGUUUUCACUGCUAUUCCUGCCAUUCCGAAGUGCAUUAAGGUAUGAGUCAUCACUGCUAAUUAUCUCCAUAAGCACCUCUGUGGCACAAAUUGCCUCCCAGCCAGCUGCAGUGGGAAGUUGCUUCUGCCUGGUGUUUCUCAGCGUGACUUUGUGGAGCAGAAGGCAGGAGCCCCGCAUUGCCUGCUGGCACUGACUGCCAGCACUGGUGGCCUCAAAGGAGACAAUGGGAAGAGCUGGGUGCUCACUGCCUUUCUUUGACCAAGCCCACCCAAAAGGAACAGGGUAUGGAGCCCUGAUCCUGGUGUCUGGUUGGUCAUUUGAGUUCAGGAUGACUUGGGAAACACGGAAGCCAAAGUCCUCUGGCUCUCCUAGAGUCUUAAGCAAAUUUUCCUCUCCCCUUCUGGUGCACUCUUGAUUUGCACUGCAGCACAAAUGCUUCCACCCAUCCUGGCUAAUGCCCUUCACUCCUCAUCCUCUUUGCCUACUGUGAAUAACACAGCAACGAUGACUGCUGCAGUUGUGCUCACACAUCUCAAGCAGGUGGAGCCAGAAUAGCUCUUGCAUACUGUAUCUGGGUGAAAACGUUAAAGAUUUGAUCAAAGUCAGCAAAAGUGUCCACCUGCCAGCUGUAACUGUGGGACCUGUGCUUCGAGGCAGUAACAUAGGUCUGGACAGGCACCCUCACGGUGACAUCCUGGUGGUGGCAAGUGACUUGAGAGCACUCCAUCAGAUGGGAAGGUGGAGGAGGUCUCCAAGGACUUUUCCUACACAAGGUUGCUGUCUUACAUCCCUUUUCUCUCCCAUAUUUUCAGCCUUGGCCUGCCUCAGCAUCCUUCCCUUCCCUACCAGGACCCAAUGGUAUAUGUGGGGAUUUGCAUUUUGUGAGGAAACACCUAUUGAAAUGUAGGAUGAUGUUAACUCCAUCUUCCUUGUGUUCCCCCGUGUUCCCAAGCUCUGUUCACCAUCCCCAGCCCCUGAAACAGCUCCUCUGAAAGCAGAUAUGUCAGUCUUCGCUGUACAGGGAGUAUUUUAAGGCUCUGAAAACAAAGUUUAUUAUAGCAGAGCUGCCAAAAGUGUAACCACUGCCAUGCUAAAAUAUCCUCUGCCUCCUACAUUUGUAACGUGGGAGUCUUUUAUAUCCUCUUUACUGCUGCUGAACCAUGCAUUUGUCUUGGCAGCAGAUGUAUGUAGACUGGGGUCUAUUUCAGUGUCAUGCAAAAGAGCUCUUAGGCUAAAAGAUGUAUUACAGCUUACUGGAAGGCUUGAAAUUAACUGUACGAUGAUGCUGCAUGAAGAUAAAGAACCAGCAAUUUCACUGAAUUGUGAUUUUAUCCAGAUGGGCUGAAAGAUUGAACAGCGUUGCCAUCUCCAAAGGUCUCCCUUUGCCAAAUUAACUGUUGAGUUGAGUGAGAGCCAUGAGGAAGAGACAUUGCUGAACCAAUUUUGGGAAAAGGUCUGCCUCUUUACCCGGUAUGUCACAGGAGAAAUACAGGUUUGGGGGAUGGAUUUGUAUUUUUUUUUCAUUCUUCACAUCUGAGCUCUUGGCACAGCACCCCCUGCUUCUAAUCGCAGCUUAUAACUGCAGUUUAAAUCAAAACCUGCCAGGAUGGCACAGUUCCUAUUAAAGUGCCCGAGCAGACCGGCUGUCCCCAGUCCCGUCCCCUGCUGCAAGCUGCUGGAUGCUGAAGUGUGACCCAUGGUGGCACUGGGACAUGGCAGCAGGAGAGGCAGCUUAAAAAAGGUUUGGCCACUUACAUGGUUGAAAACAAGUUAAAAAAAAAUAUAAACUUGCAAGAUAAGGCAGAAUCCCCUUUUUAUUCCUCACUAUAAUAUAUUGGAUAGGAAUAACAAUUAAGAAGAAAACAGUGUCUGGGAUGCAGUGUCAGCCACCACCAUCCCAUCCAUGGCCACCCUCCGGCUGCCCCGUCGCGUGUAGGGCAGGAGAGUGCCUUGAGCAGAAAUGCUGCUUCUGGCUCUGCUCUUUACUGCAGUCAUUUUGCACACUGAAUAAAGCAGGGAAAUUGCACACAGUCAGGUGAACGCAGGGCAGGCUGGUGAGGCAGAUGUACUUGAAGGCAGAAUUACAGCUGCAAAAGGGAAUAAAGACAUUUGCUAGCAUUUCCUGCAUUUUUAAAUUGAUCUUUUUGUGGGGUUUUGUUUGGUUUUCAGGGGGAGUGUUGUUUGCUUGGAUGAAGCUAUUGAGCACUUUUUCCAUUAGUGAGAUUUUUUUUUUCUUUCCUUUCAUGUGUCAGCGAACCACACGCAAGCUCCAAUCUCUGCUUCGUGGAUCCUGAACUCCUGAAGCUGAUUUUACCACUUCAGUAAUAAGGUGAGUUACAUGAUGUGGUGGAAGAAGAAAGUGGUAUGAGGAGCAGAGAAAAACAUAGUCUCUCUGUACCAAGAGAACCCCCCAGAGCAGGGUUACUCCCCUAUCCUGAGUCCAGGCACCUGAUGACCCAGCAGAAACCCAGGAGGUCCUGGUUAAAAUAAAUUGAGUUAAUUAAUUGAGCAGCUGUGACAUGGAUGCCCUUCAUCUUAAGUGCUUCCCUCCAAGAGGAGAAGGUGCUGUUGAGCUUGUUUAUUGGUAAUAUUAUUUCUCUAAAGCAACAGUUGUCCCAUGUAGUGCCCUCUUGGCUCAGCACAGCUACUCUGGUGGCUCCGAGGUGGUUAUUGCAGGUACCUGAGCUUCUGCUGGGAUUUACUGGGGGCUUUUGGACACUGUGACAGUGUUUUCUAUAUGUUGAGACUGGAGAGAAGGAAAUACUCUGGGCAGUUCCUAUGUUAUUGUCCUUGGAGAGCUGGCAUUGCCUCCACUACAGUGGGGAUUUUAUGCUGGCUGACAGCUGGGAGGGAAGGGUGGGCUCUUCAGAUUCCACAAAAACGAUGGAAACCUGAGAUGGUGCUUUCCUUCUGUCAUGUACAGCAGGUCAUGUUCUGGUCUGGAAGUCACUGGGCUGUGGAUCAGGCACAAAGCUGAGGGAAAUGCUGCUGGUUCAUGGAAGAGUUUUUGGGGUGGGUUUUUUCAGCUAAUCUAUUCAGGCAAGUAUAAGCCUUUAGUUUCUUCACCAGCAUAUGUUAAGCUAAUAGUGGCUGGGUAUUUCUCUGAGGCUGUAAAAUAAGCUCGUUCAUCCUUUCUCUAUAUUUGUGGCAGGGAGAACAGAAAAAAUACAACAAAAAAGAAAGCCCUGCCGAACUCCUGCUGCCUCUCCAGACCGAGCCUCCUCCCUCCCUCCCUCCCCCAGCCACAUUGCUGUCGUCUCCAGCAGCAUCAUGCAAAUUGCAGGAGCAGGGCUGGGGGUUGAGUCCAUGGCCGCCUUCCCAUGGAGCCAGGGCUGCAUCAGUUGCAUCACCUGAUCCACUGACAGCCCAAAUUUCAGAGCUCGUGGGCAGCCGCUGUAGUCUUGGUGGCCAGAUUUAGCAAAAAGCAGCCCUCACCAAAAAAAUAAAUAACCUCAGAAGAACUAGAAUGAGGGCUGGUGUGUUAACAGUAUCUCUGCUUGAAAAGCUGCAGAAAUUCCCUGUGCACUUGGAACCUGGCUGUGUGCUUGCAAUGCAAGCCUUAGACCCUCAGCAAUAAGGCCUAGGAGGUAUUGCAGGGCUGGUGCUGAGGUGCUGCUGUGUAAUACCGGUGUGAUGCAUCUCUGCUGCCCUUUGAAGUCCACCAAGGAAGGGUUGCAAAAGCAUCUCAGUGCAGGCGAGCUGCUCAAGAAAGUGAAUUUUGUGUUGUUUUUCAGCUUUGCAGAAGUCCCCAGUGAUACCCACAUGUUCUCUGGAUGCCUCGGCCGUGAGUUCGACCUGCAUUGCAUUCUGCGGGAGAUACUGCUGCUGGGUUUGAACUUCAUAGGGGAAAGGGAGGUUGUGGUGCUUAAAAUAAAGGCAAAAGCCUAGAGAAUACAUUGUCUUGAGAGGGAUUUGACUGGACUGGAUCAGGAUUAACCUUUUCCGUACCGUGUGUGUCCCCCUCUUCCUUCUGUGGCUAUUCCAAGAUUUACCAAGAAAACACCAGCUCCCCUUGAGAGUGUCUUGAAGGGCUUGAGAUUUCAGACCUUGCCCCUACCCCACUUCUUUUCAGGUUUGAGGAGAUGCUUUAUUUUGGCUAAUCCAUGGGCAUGUCACAGUGGCUGUGCCGACAGGCAGGGCUGGCCAAAGCAGCUUGGCCUGGACAGGGAGGCCAAAAUCAGGAAUUGCACUGGAGGAGAGCAAAGAUUUGUGGAAAUGGUUGAGGAAGGGAGGAUGUGGAGUGAACAUCCCUCCUCUCUCUCCAGCAGGUUCAGGACCUAUUCUUUGAUGUGUUUUACUGGUCCAAAAAGCAGAGCAGCCAUCCGUCCUGCUGAAUUCCUCCCACAUUCUUGUGCUGCAGCGUGACUGGUGCAACUGCCAGCAGCUGGAAGACUGAAAUAGCAGCUACCAUUGCUUAGGCCCCACUGAUUUGUCCUGUGGCUUUUCUAUGCCCUUUAAUCUCCAGUAACUAAUCCCUCACUUCCUUGCGGUCUUUCUAAUUCUGUGUCCUGUGCUGGUGCUUCCUGUAAACAGCGGGUCUGGUGGCCCGUAAUUGAGGCUUUUGCUGGCUGCGCAAAGGGCAUGUGGCAGGGCUGUUCUCCAGGCUGGAUGCGGCCAUUUCAGAAGGCUGAAUAAUGGAAAUGAGGAGCCUGGUUCUCCUCUUCAUACAGGCAGAAGUCAGGGCAAGCUGCGAUGAGGCCAGUGAAUAAUUCAGGUGUAAAACCAGGACAUAGAACACCAGGUUCCAUCGCCCUAACCCAAUACCUCACACUUUCUGGUCUCCAGAAACCAUGGAUAGGCCCGUGCUUGGAAGCACAAUUGGAGUAAACUGUGUGCAAUGAGGUCCCUGUGGCACACACUUGCACUGGUACUUGCUCUUCUCUGCAGGAGUCUCAACUUGAGCAGAAGCCACGAGCAGAUCUUCCUCAACCCUUAAUAACCACAUCUCUGGUCUAAAACUUUGAAUGGAGUCCUAAAAUUAAGGGCAGAGCUGAAGGUCUGUGCUGAUUGAAGGCUUCUCCUGGUGUUCUUCUGCCCAAGGACUUGGUCCUUCGCACUCCUGUAGAUAUGAAGCCUCCAAAUGCUCCAGUGUGUGCUCUGACAGCAAGGGAGGUGCAGAAGACAUUUUCCGACCAAAAUAUCUUCAACUGUUUUUUGGCUUCAUGUUGUCGAAAGAUUUGGGGUAUGAGAUACCAAUCCUCAAGCCUGAAAGUUAAUUUUCUCCUGGUGAGUUCAUGUUAAAGUGAUGGUUUUCAGCUGAAAACAGGUUUUCAGCUUUUUUUCUCAUCUGAAAUCUCCUCCCUCUGGGUUUCUGUUGCAUGAUUGUUUACAUGGAACCCUCCACAGAUCUCUGAGCAUCCACCAAACCACACCAUUUCAAAGGUGUGCAUUGCAAAGCCUGUUUUCACUUCUGAAGGCACAACGUCAAGUCCUGGUGCUUCAAAGGAGCCAUGGCCAAGUGUGUGUGGGGACAGUUGGCAGCAAAUACGUGGUAGAUCUGAGUUUUCCUGUGAAAUGCCAAUGCCCCGGUCAUAUCUCUGUGUGGUGCCUGCAUCCCGGCUGGCUGAUGGGCUGAGACAUGAGUGAGGGGUCUCCUUGCCUAGCACCAGGGUUGAACAGAAGCAGGCAGGAGGAAGCAGGUGAGGAGCUGGCUUUCUGGCUGCCCACGCAGCUCCAGCCUGACAAAACAUUGGCAGGAGCGACCCCAGAGCAUCCUGUGGUGAUCGGAUGGAGGAGGUGGUUCCCUUAAUGCACAUUUCUCCAAGCCACCUUUCCCUCGUGCAUGAGGUGCUGCAUUACCACAAGAUUGAGCUGAUUCUGAAACAGAGCCUGACGUGAAGUCAGACUAAAGCAAAGCUCCUGCAAGCCGUUAGGUGUUUGCCUGAGUCCUGCUGGAAGCAUCGCAAGUGUAGAUGAAAUUGUUCUGCAGGUAUUUACGCCCGCUCCCCCUGGCCUCACGUUGACAGUGUGCCUCCGCAUCUCCAUUCUUUCCAACAACAGGGAUGGAUGCAAGCAAGCCUUGAGAGGGUCAGAAAAGCUUUGCCCAGCAGCAGCAGGAGUCUUUGAGACCCGACGCCAAUAAUCCUCGUCUGCAGUUGGUCCCUUUGGCUCCAGUCACUGCUGAGUUUGCUGGUGGAUAAAACCACUGUGUUGGAUCAAAUCGAUACUAAAGGAGACUUCACAAAAGUUAAUAGCUAGUGGUCAAGAAGAGUUGCCAGACUCUUGCUUUCUCAGUAACUAAUAAAAGUGCUUUUUAACACAA